UCCAUUUUUUCAGGGCAGAGACCUUUUAUUAAAAGGUAGUCGUAGGCCUAAGCUACUGACUACUCUUCAUCUCAGGGUCGGCAUUACUACUAAGCGAUUCAAGAGAGACUCGGAAAGGAAAUAAAAAUCAAGAACCACACUUUUCUUAUUUAAGACGUGUAUUUUUCUGUAUCGUGUAAAGUGUGUGUGUGUGUUUAGUGUAGCACUUUCAGGGACUAAACGUACCGUAACUCCAGCAGCAGCUUCCCGGGAUUGAACGCCUUCGGCGUUCUCCUCAGCGUUGGCCGGUCACAGGAGCGCCCUCGACUGUUCCGCCGGAAGUCCCGUGGGGGGGGGGGGUCGUCUUCGUUGCAGCCGAAUAACGGUUGACGGCUGUUGUUGCUGCUGCGCUGGAAACCGCGAGACAAGGUCGAGCGGGCGUUGCUGAUCCUUCUUGCGGCAGGCGUCUUCCCUCGUUGUCGUAAUCGGCGGACCUGGCUUCCACCAAUCCGGUCGCGCCGAGAGGGGGAAUCUCCUUUGCGUUUAUGGCGCCCCGCGCCAGAGAUUGUGGUGGUCGUUGACGGAAAACGUAGCCAAAGGCACUGCGCACUUACAGGGCUAGGUUGACCAAACCGCACGGCCGGGUUCCGGAAUGCGGGAGAAUGUAACUUCCGCAGGCACUUCCACCGGAAGGCAAGGCGUGACCAGCAAAAGGCGAUGCUGACACUCACGGAACCGCGACUUUACCGUACGGACGCCUGGUAAUAAAAGAGGCCGAUUCUUGUCGUCGACGGCUGAGGUAAACAUUCCCUUCUCAUUUUGGGUGGGAAAAUCCACCAUUUUCUUUCCCUCCCACUUUUCGUGCAGUCCUGACCUAGCGCUGUCAGGAUCUGCGUGUUUGCAGCGGUACGAAUAACCCUUCACUGCUUGUGUCGUGUAAUGUUGUAUGAACGGGAAAUAAAUUGAAAAGUGAAGGUUCGUUCAAGAACUGUAACCAACGGUUACACUAUCCACCACCCCGGCGAAAAAAAUGUGAAAGCACGACGAGGUUUCGCAUUUUUUUACAACAAUGCUUUGCAUCACCAUCGUCGGCAUCUACUAGAUUCGUGGGUGUGGACAAUUCAACCUACAAUUCUCAGGUACAUUACUGCUACAACGCGCGAGAUAAUGAACCUUCACAAAACAACUCAAAUAAUAAAUAAUACAAACAAAAACAUUCAAUAUUUACAAAAUUUACACCAAAUUAAAAUAAAUAAGUUAACAUAAAUCAUGCAAAAACAAAUUAAAAUAAUUAUUAAAAAUCAUCCCGAAUUAUGGGUAGACAACUCUAUAGUUAUGUUGCGCAACAAAAUAAUUAUGUACAGAAUUUACAAGUUUGGAUCACUUUCGAUCUCCAAGGGGUGAUUCAACCUCAAGUGAAGCCCCUGCAGCAAACUGUCUCUGCAGUUGACAGAUGCCAAAACGUCCACACUGACACGUCGCCGAGCUGUCAGAGCAUAACGCAAUGUUUACAACUGAAAAAUCAGCUCGGUCGACGGAAUCAAGUGCGCGAUCGUUUUACGUCGUUUUCGGUGUGUUUUUGACGAUGUUUCGUCCGAUAUGUUCAGGUAAGUCGUAUAAGUUUUUGGACUAGUCCUACGAAGAGCAUCUUCGUUAAGUUUUUAUUUACUUUUCAGCUCACAGUGAGCCUGAAAAGUGGUGGUGUUUUGCUGCUAGGUUCUGAAUCUUCCCGAGGAAGAUCAGCCUGCACAAACCCACAAAUAAUCCCGGGAUGAACCGUGGUUGGCCAUCUUGACACAGCAAGAUGAGCACCAGGUGUUUAGUAACGACUAACCUUCUCCGCAGAUGCUCAUCGGGUCUUCGGGUCGAACCGACAGCGAGUUCCGAGGGAAACCAAUGUUAAACCCCUCACCAACUGCUGCGGUUAACCGACCCUCGGUCGACUUACAACGUUAGAGUUAGUCAGUGUUACUAAACUCUGUAAUUAACAUGAAUAAAGAUUCAUUUUAUU